rnacentral:tRNA from 1 species
AUAGUUGUGGCUCAGUGGUAGAGUACUUCUCUAGUAGGUGUGAAUUCAUGGGUUCCAUCCCCAUCAAGGAAA